GUUAGACAUGUGAGGAAACAUAGGCGCAGCUUCUGUGAGAAAUUGAUGGAGAUUCAGAGAGAUCGAGAAAUGAAGAAGUUAGGGUUUGCUGAUGCUGAGAAGAACAAGGAAAAGUUUAUAGUUCUAAUGGAAGAAUUGGUAGCACAGAAGAUUUACAAGGAAUGAGAAGAACAAAUGGGUUUUACUGAAUCAAGAAGUAUCUCAAGAUGUUGGUGACGAAUUGAGGGUUUGAAGCAGAAAUUGGGGUUUUAAGAAAGUAAAUCUGGGAGAUGGGUUUUCCAGUCGAGGGUUCAGUCAAGAUCAGAUGGGUUGGUUAUGAAUUAGAAUAUGGGAAUUUUGAGUCUGUUGAUGUGCAUCUGCGAUGAAUUAGGGUUUCAUUGAAUGGGAAUUUGAGAUCGAAAUGGAAAAGCAGAGAAGAUCAUGGGGUACCUAGUGAUUUGAAGAUCUGACAUGGAGUUAACUAAAGCUGAGGGGAUUUUAGAGAUGGGUUUCCAGAAGAUGAGAAGAAGAAUAUGUUAGACAUGUUUAUACUUGUGAUUGAGGCUCUGUUGAGAUGGAAGGAGCAGGCUUGAGCUUCUGAAAUGGUGCUUCUGCAAUGGUAAUGUUGGUGCUUGAGGUAGUUGAUGGCAUUGGUUUCAGGGAGAUGAUUAUGAGACAGUGAAGAGAAAACUCAGCUGGAAUGGAGUUAGUGGUGAUGAAUCUCAGAAAUGGGUACUUGAAUUGUGCUGGUUGUGUUGGUGUCCUUGAGAUUGAGAUAGAGAUGAUGAUGGUAGCUUGGUGCAUCAGCGGAGUGAUUUGGUAGAUGAAUGUUAGGUGCAGGUUUUGGAACUGGUAAUUGAAGCUGCAAUGAAGUGAAGGGAAUGAUGAAUUUCAAUAAGAGAAGUAACAUGAGAUGGGUCUGGUUGUGUAACUGAGCUGAAGGUAGUAUUGAAAUGGAACUGAUGGUGAAGUUGGUGGUGAAUUUGAGCAGGUGGUUUUGAUGAUUGCCAUAGAGAUGAGAUUGCAGGAAAAAAUGGAAUAGGUGGAAGAUGGUGUUGGUUGUGGAGCUAUGGAAUCUGUAGCUCAGAUGAAGUGGUUGCUGUGCAGGGGAGCUACCUUUAAUGCUGUAUUUGGUGACUGAUGGCUGGUCUGCAAGUAUUUGGUGGUGCAAGUGGAUUUAAGAACUGGUGCUGCUGGAUAUGGAGUUGCAGCUAGAAACUCAAAGCAAGCAGUGUGUAUGAAUUACAGGGAAGAUGGAGCCCGAUAGCUGAGUUAGAAAAACAGAAUGUGGAUCUGAUGCCUGGAUUAGAUGGACAUCUUGAACUUGAGUUAAAGCUGCAGAAUUGGACUGAAAUUGGUUGAAUUUGAGCUGAGAUGGCAAAGGUUCUGGCGGAGUUAAUUGCUACUACAAAGUGGAUUGAAUGGCUUAAGCUGAGCAGGCAAUGGAGUUGCGGUUGCAGAAUGGUUCGAGACUGGUGGAAUUUUGUUGCGGUGAAACCAAGGAAGUUUGUAAGGCUGAAAUGGAUUGUGUGAAGUUACAGAAGAACAAGGGACUGAGCAGCAGGUGAUGAUGUUAGUUAGCUAGCCAUGGCUGGUGCUCUUGCUUUGAGAUUAUGGAGUUGAAAUGCUCGGGACUGAAUGGUGGUACUGUGAGUUGUUGGCGUGAGCCAGUGAAGCAAUGGCUCGGAAUUAAGUUACAGGUGGUAAUGAAUGGUGGUUGUGGUCAAGAGAGUAAGAAGAUGCAAAGAGCUGGCUCAGAAUUGCAUUUCAGGAGUAGUGUGCUGCAAUGAACUUCAGGUUGCAGGGGAAGUAAUGCACAAUGAUGGUAUUUUUGGAAAAUAAAUAUUGUUGGAAAAUUUGGCUCGAAAAGUUGCUCGGAGUAUCCCGGGAGGACAAUUGCUAUACGGACCCCCACUUUUGCUAAGGGGCACCCACGACUACAUGCAGCCCAUUUGUCUAUAGCACCUACUGGUUAUUUGGUACCCAAGAUGCUGGAUAAGGGCUAACCUCCUCCUUCUUCGUUUGAAUUAAGAAAAUGGCGGGAAAAUAUUCACAGAUUUUCAGUUCGUGAUUUGGAGGGGUUAUAGUGUGACUCAAUGGCUGAAAUUUCACGGGACGACUUGAUUAAGAUUAGCAGGCAUGGUAUGAUCAAUGGUUUAGGUUAGAAUUGGCUGGAGCAUCAGAUGGAAUAAAUCAGGGAGUUACGUGUUUUGAUAAACCCGAUAUUGUUGUUUUGGAUUUGGACGACUUCUAGUGAGAUUAAAGCGCUAAAAUCAGUUGGACUGGGCCUGUUGCAACUAAACAUGACAGGUAAUUACAUCAAAUUCGAAUAAAUGGGGUUGCAGAAUCAUAUUUGAGCAAAACAGGGAGGAUAUAUCUUCUCGGGUUUAUUUCUGGGAAGUGUGUGCUUUAACUGGAGGCUUGCGUGUGGAAACUAGGUUUUUGGUGACUUUUGGAACGUGUUUGUAUCAUGACAGCUAAGGAGUAACGCGUGGGUUGAUAAAUCAGGGAAUAAAAUCCUUGACUGGCUGCGAAGAAUACUAUCGAGCAAUGAAAGAAUAUAUGGAGUUAUGACGCAUGAUUUCGGUGCAUGAAGGAGUAUAUAAGGUGUGGUGGAGUAAUAGACCAGGGAAGGAGAGUUUGGGAGAGUUUAGAACAUUAGAGAGUCGAGAAAAAUUAAGUUGCAGAGCUGCCAUUUUCUGCUGCUGCAUACCUGAAGAACACGAAGAAUAGACCAACCAUGACAGUCGUUUAUCAACAGCGAUAACGACACAGAUACGUUGGUCGUAGAAGCUAUAGUAACAACGGCAGUUUGCUUUUAUCGUUCUUUGUAACAGCUCGGUUUGUAA